UACGUAGGGUGCAAGCGUUAAUCGGAAUUACUGGGCGUAAAGCGUGCGCAGGCGGUUUUGUAAGACUGUCGUGAAAUCCCCGGGCUCAACCUGGGAAUGGCGAUGGUGACUGCAAGGCUAGAGUUUGGCAGAGGGGGGUAGAAUUCCACGUGUAGCAGUGAAAUGCGUAGAUAUGUGGAGGAACACCGAUGGCGAAGGCAGCCCCCUGGGUCAAAACUGACGCUCAGGCACGAAGGCGUGGGGAGCAAACAGG
rnacentral:rRNA from 1 species